rnacentral:rRNA from 1 species
GACGAACGCUGGCGGCGUGCUUAACACAUGCAAGUCGAACGGAAAGGCCCUGCUUUUGUGGGGUGCUCGAGUGGCGAACGGGUGAGUAACACGUGAGUAACCUGCCCUUGACUUUUGGAUAACUUCAGGAAACUGGGGCUAAUACCGGAUAGGAGCUCCUGCUGCAUGGUGGGGGUUGGAAAGUUUCGGCGGUUGGGGAUGGACUCGCGGCUUAUCAGCUUGUUGGGGGGGUAGUGGCUUACCAAGGCUUUGACGGGUAGCCGGCCUGAGAGGGUGACCGGCCACAUUGGGACUGAGAUACGGCCCAGACUCCUACGGGAGGCAGCGGUGGGGAAUAUGGCACAAUGGGCGGAAGCCGGAUGCAGCAACGCCGCGUGCGGGAUACCGGCCUUCGGUUUGUAAACCGCUUUCGCAUGUGACGAAGCUUGAGUGACGGUAAUUGGUAAAGAAGCACCGGCUAACUACGUG